AUUGAACGCUGGCGGCAGGCCUAACACAUGCAAGUCGAGCGGAUGAAGGGAGCUUGCUCCUGGAUUCAGCGGCGGACGGGUGAGUAAUGCCUAGGAAUCUGCCUGGUAGUGGGGGAUAACGUCCGGAAACGGGCGCUAAUACCGCAUACGUCCUAAGGGAGAAAGUGGGGGAUCUUCGGACCUCACGCUAUCAGAUGAGCCUAGGUCGGAUUAGCUAGUUGGUGGGGUAAAGGCCUACCAAGGCGACGAUCCGUAACUGGUCUGAGAGGAUGAUCAGUCACACUGGAACUGAGACACGGUCCAGACUCCUACGGGAGGCAGCAGUGGGGAAUAUUGGACAAUGGGCGAAAGCCUGAUCCAGCCAUGCCGCGUGUGUGAAGAAGGUCUUCGGAUUGUAAAGCACUUUAAGUUGGGAGGAAGAGCAGUAAGUUAAUACCUUGCUGUUUUGACGUUACCAACAGAAUAAGCACCGGCUAACUUCGUG
rnacentral:rRNA from 1 species